GUGUGACCAGCUGAUUAGCCAUCAUGCCAUAUACAGCUGUGGGGGAACUAAUGAUUGGUUCGGCCGUUGCAGCAGGGGGUUCAAUUUGAUUGACGGACGUAGCUCCAGUAUACUCCUGAACACUACUGGACAGACCAGUGUUCUGUGGCUGCAGGGCAGAGUCUGCUGACGGUGUCUCUGCUUAUCGGCGGCGUCAUGCCCGUGUAGGGUCGGACAGCCGAGGUUGUGGCUGGUUCUCUGGCUCAAGCUUGCCGUGUCCGCGAGGUCCGUGCGGAAAAAUUACGUCAUUUUCGCAUCCACGCCCCCUCGAGCGACCUUUCCGUGCGGAAAAUUUCCGCUCCGCGCACCUCCACAUUUUUCUGGGUGAAAGUCCCUAGGUGGCGUUGUCGGUUCCGUGUAAAAGAAACCAGAAGACCCUCACCAGUCCUAACUUGGUUACAUUAGCAUUAGGCUUAAACAUUCAGUGCCAAAGUACAGCCUCUGAGAGCUGCUCUAUCAUCAGCUGUAUCUGCAUUAAGUUGUCCAAUAUUCAGUUGAGCAACUUUGUUGUUUACCUACAAUAAGUUGUAUUACAGGUUUUAGCUGAAUGUGUGUGUGCGCAUACAGUAUGUACACUAGUAAAUGCUUGACUGUUACAUGUCUAUGCAAUCUGUAUGCAAAUAAUAAAUGCAGUAGCCCCCAAACAUUUUCUGUAAGGGAACAAUCAAAUACAUGGUAUACAUGUAUUGUUUCAUAUCCUAUUGUAUCAGAUUUUGUCAAAUUGCAUUAUGUCAUAAUGUUUUGCAUUGUAACAUAUCAUAUUGUUGCAUUUGCAAAAAUCCCUUGUCCCUGACUGACUCAGAGAUGAAGCACUUUUGGCUGGAUUCCGAGGGCUUUAAUUGAAAAACUAGACCUGAUGCCUGCUUUACAUUAAUUCCACUGUCACUGCCAUCAUUGUCAGGCUGGUUUAAUUUAACCCAUCAACUUUGUUCAACAGAAGGGCAUCAGUAACCUGCAAUCCAGCAGGACACUUAACCUCCAGCUGCUUGUGCAACUUCUCUGCAGCCAACUGUAGAUAAUUGUGGUUUACAGAGCAGCUUCAGGUGUGAAUAUGUGUUACCAUGUCAAAACGCAGCAAGUAUGGAAGAGUGAGCAUGCUCAGUUAAGUUCCACGAAACAAAUACUGGUUAAAACGAUUCAUAAUGUUUUGGUGGAGCGAUGACAAGCCGUGAGUCACUCUACACAGCUCACCUCAACUAUGCCAAGUAGCAGACAGCUGCUGAAACCUGUUGUGAGGAGUACAGAGCUGCACGCAAAGUUCUCGAUUUAAGCAUGUUAAACUUGGCUUCUAGGUACAAUGUGGGGAAUUCAUGCAGAGUUUUUAAGCCCAUAAAUGUUGGAAGGACAUUGUCUUUGCACUUGUUUGACAUGGUGGCUCAACGGCUUUGUGGGAACUGUAGUGUUCACUCAUGUUAGCGUUAUGAUAAUGCGUGUGUGUGCAGCUACCUGAGGGGCUUACUGUUUUACAUGGCCUUUUAAAAGUUCCUGUGGGAUUAAAUGAGGUUAGAUGCACACAACACACUGCUAUUUCCCUUAGGCAGAAGAGGAACCUUUCCACUCUCUGCUCACACUCCACACUAGUCACGCAAGCCCUGUCAGAGAUAGUUGCAGACACACACACUCACACAGUCACAGGAAAGCACACAGACAAAACCCUCACACUUAAACAAAAUGAGUCAGAGGAGCAACUGAUGAUUGUGAAUUCACAUGUUGUGUAACACUCUGUCUGUGGUUUGUGUGGUUCUGUGGAAUUCUUGUAUUUUUUGCGGCGCAGAUUUUUUUUGUUUGUUUUUUUAAGUGUCUCUGUUGUUUUAAGCUCAAAGACGCAGUGAGAACUUUGCGGCAUCAAUAGGGGAGCUUGUAUUUGCAUUAGCAGUUGACACGGCUACUGGAAAUACACAAAAGCCAAACAACAGCAAAGUAACAAUGACCUUCUACUGCUGUAAUUCCGCUUGGGUUAUUAUGUGGAGAGUGUGUGAGCAUGCUGCAUAGUUUCUGUAAAUGUGUGGGAGACAGAAAGUGCAAGAGAGGAGGGCCUAUUCACGCAGGAUGCAUGCUUUAGAACAGGCUGCAGGGCAUUGCUGAAUGACUGAUAGGAGAGACCUUUAAAACAAAGCUCCAAACUCACACACAUGCAUGUUACAUAGACACACCCACCCAUCCACACAGACACACACACAUAAAAACACACACAGCCCUGCACAUACAAUCCAAAAUGAAUAGAAGCAAAAUCUCCAUAAAUCCUUUCCUACUUUCUUGCUGCCUCCUUAUCUUGUGAUGACAAUGAUUUUUUUCAUAGCAGUUCAUGACACACGCAGUCUACUGUAGCAACUACAAUUCACAACGAUCACAGCGAGACAAAAGCUUUCAUGCCUCGUCUUUCAGCAGUGCAUCCACCCACUGGCACAUACCAGCUCACCAAGUGGCAACUGCCAGAACAGGCAACGGGUGCUUUUCAACUUGUCACAGACUUUUGUCUGUGUGUCUGUGUGUCUGUGUGUCUGUGUGUGUGUGUGUGUGUGUGUGUGUGUGUGUGUGUGUGUGUGUGUGUGUGUGUGUGUGUGUGUGUGUGUGUGUGUGUGUGUGUGUGUGUGUGUGUGUGUGUGUGUGUGUGUGUGUGUGUGUGUGUGU